ACGAACGCUGGCGGCGUGCCUAAUACAUGCAAGUAGAACGCACAGUUUAUACCGUAGCUUGCUACACCAUAGACUGUGAGUUGCGAACGGGUGAGUAACGCGUAGGUAACCUGCCUGGUAGCGGGGGAUAACUAUUGGAAACGAUAGCUAAUACCGCAUAAUAUUAAUUAUUGCAUGAUAAUUAAUUGAAAGGUGCAAUUGCACCACUACCAGAUGGACCUGCGUUGUAUUAGCUAGUAGGUGAGGUAACGGCUCACCUAGGCGACGAUACAUAGCCGACUGGAGAGGGUGAUCCGCCAACCGGGGACGGGAAAACGGCCCAGACUCUUACGGGAGGCAGCAGUGGGGAAUUUUCGGAAAUGGAGGAAAGUCUGACCGAGCAACGCCGGGGGGGGGAAGAAGGUUUUGGGAUUUUAAAGUUGUUUUGGAAGAAAAGAACGGUUGUGGGAGGGGAAAGUCCACCCUGGGAGGGUAUCUUACCAGAAAGGGACGGCAAAUUACGU
rnacentral:rRNA from 1 species